AAACUCUGAUCCAGCAAUGCCGCGUGCAGGAAGACUGCCCUAUGGGUUGUAAACUGCUUUUAUACGGGAAGAACCCACCUACGUGAGGGGGCUUGACGGUACUGUAUGAAUAAGGAUCGGCUAACUCCGUGCCAGCAGCCGCGGUAAUACGGAGGAUCCAAGCGUUAUCCGGAAUCAUUGGGUUUAAAGGGUCCGUAGGCGGGACAAUAAGUCAGUGGUGAAAGUCUUCCGCUCAACGGUAGAAUUGCCAUUGAUACUGUUGGUCUUGAAUUAGUAUGAAGUGGUUGGAAUGAGUAGUGUAGCGGUGAAAUGCAUAGAUAUUACUCAGAACACCUAUUGCGAAGGCAGAUCACUAAUACUAUAUUGACGCUGAUGGACGAAAGCGUAGGUAGCGAACAGGAUUAGAUACCCUGGUAGUCUACGCCGUAAACGAUGGAUACUAGCUGUCCGACC
rnacentral:rRNA from 1 species